CGGGAGCAUGCUAUACAUGCAGUCGAGCGAACAGACGAGGAGCUUGCUCCUCUGACGUUAGCGGCGGACGGGUGAGUAACACGUGGAUAACCUACCUAUAAGACUGGGAUAACUUCGGGAAACCGGAGCUAAUACCGGAUAAUAUAUUGAACCGCAUGGUUCAAUAGUGAAAGACGGUUUUGCUGUCACUUAUAGAUGGAUCCGCGCCGCAUUAGCUAGUUGGUAAGGUAACGGCUUACCAAGGCAACGAUGCGUAGCCGACCUGAGAGGGUGAUCGGCCACACUGGAACUGAGACACGGUCCAGACUCCUACGGGAGGCAGCAGUAGGGAAUCUUCCGCAAUGGGCGAAAGCCUGACGGAGCAACGCCGCGUGAGUGAUGAAGGUCUUCGGAUCGUAAAACUCUGUUAUUAGGGAAGAACAAAUGUGUAAGUAACUAUGCACGUCUUGACGGUACCUAAUCAAGAAAGCCACGGCUAACUACGUGCCAGAGC
rnacentral:rRNA from 1 species